rnacentral:rRNA from 1 species
AUUGAACGCUGGCGGAAUGCUUUACACAUGCAAGUCGAGCGGCAGCGCGGGGCAACCUGGCGGCGAGCGGCGAACGGGUGAGUAAUACAUCGGAACGUACCCAGUUGUGGGGGAUAGCCCGGCGAAAGCCGGAUUAAUAUCGCAUACGACCUGAGGGUGAAAGGGGGGGAGUCGCAAGACCUCUCGCAGUUGGAGCGGCCGAUGGCGGAUUAGCUAGUUGGUAGGGUAAAGGCCUACCAAGGCGACGAUCCGUAGCUGGUCUGAGAGGACGACCAGCCACACUGGAACUGAGACACGGUCCAGACUCCUACGGGAGGCAGCAGUGGGGAAUUUUGGACAAUGGGGGCGAACCCUGAUCCAGCCAUUCCGCGUGAGUGAAGAAGGCCUUCGGUUGUAA